CAAAUUCGAGUUUUAAAGUGGCUCACGGAGGUGACGAAAAAGUGUGCUACGACUUUCUCCGUUCUUGACCAACGGUUUUUCGAUCCAUCGUGGUGCACGAUAGGAGGUCAACGGAUGAACUCCAAUCGCUGGAUAACGAGAUAUCUAUACCUCAUAUCGAUACAGUUACCCGUUUUAGCACAUUAAAUAUCCGUCAAAUUUCCAGAAGCGAGUGCAGAGAAAAAGAAUGCGGAAAGGAAUGCACGGAGGAUCACGUUUGUUCUUAAGUGACGUCAACGCUACAUUCUCUCCUCCAAUAACUCAGAAACACACUUUCUCCGGUGUUACGAUGUAACGGACGAAUAGAGAUCCACAAUUAUCGCACGAAACGCGCAAUAAGUAUACGUGACUUUCAAUAUCAUGAAUGGAUUAGAAUUCCCGAUUUCGCAAGCCAAGCAUGUACACAUAAUAGUUCUCGCAAUUACGAGCGUAGAAUUGUGUCAUCAUUUAAACAACCUUCGUUGAUUGCAUCACUUUACUUUAUUACAAACUGUGCAAUAAUUAUCAUACGAUUCGUUAUACCGUUUAAAGAUACAAAAAAUAUGGCGUUUCGAUAAAUUGUAUCGUUUGUUUGUGUAAAUUAGUCUAAUGUAAACGAUACAGUCUUCCAGUUUGUAUUAGGCAAGCACACUUAUCCAAUAUUAUCAAGAAAGUCUGAGCACGUGACCGGCAUGAUAUACGUAUAAAUUUUUUCGCACAAUCACACACAAAUCAGCCAAAUUUCACCUGAUUUCGACAUAACAUUCUGUCACUGGUCCUCGAGGCAUCUGUCGUGCAUUGUCGUCUCCUCGAGGAUGCCGGUUACGAGCGCUCUCGAGAACAGCCGAUAUAUGCCGAAGGUCACCGAAGCUUUCCGAACGGCAGCGCGAAUGACCGAAUGUUUUCGCGUACCUGACAUAUUGUACUUCGAAUUCUGAGAGUACCUCGAUUACUUUUGCGAAUCAUUAGAAAAUUCCUGCUUCAUUUUCUUCCUUUAAUUAACUGUAUUGGAUCGAGCAUUCACGACCGAUAUAUCAAACGAAAAUACGAAUAACGUAACGGAAACAGAAUGUAGGCGAGACGAACUUUGGAUACAAACUGGUCAGUCGGCGAGUGGACAGUUAGGUCCAAGAGGGAGUAAAGAAUGGUAGGGAGAGGGUUGAAGCAGGCUCGGCUUUCGAAAACAAUUUUCUUCACGAUCAUAUGCGUAUCAUAUAAAUUUUUGUAAUUUUUAGAAAACUAGAAUUUAUUAUUAUUACUAUAAUGAGAAUUUAUUAUUAUAACGUAUUUUUAGUUUGUUAUACUUUGAAUGUUUUUAUUUUACUCUAUCCUAGAAGUUUGAAAGUUCGUAAGUAAGUUAUUGAAUAAGUAGUACAUUAUUCCUAAUCGGUUUCUAACGAUAAGCUAUAUUUAUUUAUGUAAGCUGUUAUAAU
rnacentral:misc_RNA from 1 species